CUGGAGUGGAAGUUGUUGACAAGUUUGAAAAAGAUUCUUUUCUAGUGAUUUGAUCAACCCUGCAGUUUCUUCCCAAACUAGUGGAUCCAUUAAUCGUACCAUCUUCGUAGAAAGCCUAGGAGCUCCAAAAACAUAAGUUGUAACUAACAUCAUCAGCCAAAUCAGGUGAGUAGGAAGCUUCGAUUUAUUAAUGAUACAAUCUUUAUCUAUUAGGGCAGGGAAGGUUCCUUUUCUGAUGUUAACCAUUUAUCGUUGAUCUUCAAAAUCAUUUCUUGUUUAAUGAUUUAGUAAUUAACAAAUCUAAGAGUUCGGAUAUAAGUAUUAGCCGUGAUUCAUUAAACCUCAGCUCUUCCAACAGGCAUAAAAGUAAAUGUUAAUUUAUUUAUUUUUUAGACAAAGAAAACCAACUUUUCAACACGAAUUAAAAUAGUUAGAGUUAUUUUUUGGUUCGACUGGAUCAAAAAGAAAUAAUGACAUCUUCAACACUACUCCACUUUUCAUAAGUCAUGGCUUUCCUUAUAAAAAAGAAUCACUCUUAGUAUAAGCUUUACUCACCGUCUCUUAUUAUAGUCUCAAUGGUCUAUUAACUUAACCGUUUUUUAAAUAACAAUCUUUAAUAGGACCGGUAGCAAUUACCUCCACCAAGAGAGUUUGAGUUGUCAUUAUGUGUGCUUGAUCAGAUUCUUUGCUUUUCAGUUUAUGAUAGCCCAUGGGAAGGCUAUAAUCAUCAUGAGGAUGAUAUAUUUCUACAUCAAAAUCUAGAAGACUCCAUAAACGAAGCAUUUUCAGGAUCUCUGAGUAUAUGAGUGAAAGUAGUGCAGCUGAGCCUGUACGAUGGGUCAAGACCUGUCAACAUGAAAUAAAAUAUUGCUAACAAUUCAACUCCAUUAAAAUAAAAUAAGAAAAAAAUAAUCAAAAUACAAAAUAUGAGGGCAGAAUCGUCUACCGUGUGAAGAUAUAGAGCUCGUGGCUCUGAUUGAGCUUUAGAACCGGUUCUUCUAAAACCCUAAAAUGUGAAAUGUGUCAUGGGCAAAAAUAGGAAAAGCAUUGAGAUCCAUAUUGGAUUCAACAGUAAAUCAAAUUAUUCAAAUUAUAAAGCAAAUGUACACUUUUGGUCGAAUUUAAAAAUAUUACCUUCAUGACGUACAUAUACCUCUCUAUACUUUCCAAAAAUAUUUCAGGGGAUGAAUUGAAUGAAGAUUUGUAGUGAGUACAAUAGCCCAUGGAAAGAUCACUUAGUCUAUGAAUAAAUGCAUCAACCGGAAGAGGAACAGAUGAAUGAGAUACCAAGGAAUCAUCCUCUGCUGCAAUAUAAAGAGCAGCUUUCGCCAAAUCAACACGUCUAUCAAUGCUAAUACUUGUAUCCCUCUCUAUCUUAGAUAAAUAGUGAAUCUGACUCAAGAAACCCUUCCUAGCCUCCUGCGUAGUCCUCUAGUAUCAAAACAAGAUUUAUUUGGCUAAUUUGAGCAUAGUUUAACUGGUUAAGAUAAUAUUUCUUUAGACAAAAGUUUAGACGUUUGAAUCUCCACCCCACAUAUUGUUCAUCUUAAAGAAGGAACAAAAAGAGAGAUUUAUUUGACAAAUGACAUCUUUUUUUUAAGGAAUAGAACUUUUCUUUGAUUUUUAAAAACCAUAAUAUCCAGGGCAUUGUCAAAGCAUGAACUAAGAGCACAAAUAUCAAACUACCAAAGUUUAACAUUAAAUACAACAAUAAAUCCACAAGUCUUCAAGAAUUUUUCAAUGUAAAGUCAAUAAA